rnacentral:lncRNA from 1 species
AUAAAGGACCCUAAAAUUAUUGGUGUACAUAAUUCGAACAGGAAAACCAACGAUCUAAUUUAUAUAUCCAAACCGGCAAACGGGAAAAUACCAAUGAACCACAUCAACAAACGACAACUGCUAAACGACAGGCCCCUGAAUCAAUCAGGACAGGUGCAUAAACAUGCAGCGGCUAUGGAUAGUUUUGUUUCGCCAGCAUACAAUAUAAUUGCAGUUGAAGGCAAAUCCUUCAGAAGUUCUUUGUACUUUAUUCUAACAACG